GAGUUUGAUCGUGGCUCAGAUUGAACGCUGGCGGUAUGCUUAACACAUGCAAGUCGAACGGUAACAGGCUAGCUUGCUAGCGCUGACGAGUGGCGGACGGGUGCGUAACGCGUAGGAAUCUGCCUAUUAGUGGGGGACAACCUGGUGAAAACCAGGCUAAUACCGCAUACGCCCUACGGGGGAAAGCAGGGGAUCUUCGGACCUUGCGCUAAUAGAUGAGCCUGCGUUAGAUUAGCUUGUUGGUGAGGUAAUGGCUCACCAAGGCGACGAUCUAUAGCUGGUCUGAGAGGACGAUCAGCCACACUGGGACUGAGACACGGCCCAGACUCCUACGGGAGACAGCAGUGGGGAAUAUUGGACAAUGGGCGGAAGCCUGAUCCAGCAAUACCGCGUGUGUGAAGAAGGCCUGAGGUUGUAAAGCACUUUCAAUUGGGAGGAAACGAGGACAGGUUAAUAAUCCUGUCUCUUG
rnacentral:rRNA from 1 species